CGGCGGCGGCUUCGGCGCCUCCUCCUCCUCCUCCUCCGCCGCCGACGCAGCUGCAGCCCUCGCCCCUCGGGAUCGACGACGGGGCCUUCGAGAAGGAGCUCCUAGGGCUCACGGGAGGGUUCCCGGGGGGCGAGAAGGGCCUAAGGCGGUUCAUCGAGGAGAACCCUCCUCCGCGAAAGGGGGCUGGGGACGACGAGGAAGCGCUUGUGGGGAUCGCGCCGGGGACGAAGGGUCCGAAGCCGCGGGCGCCGGAGCUUCCGCUGUUCCUGCCGGGGAUGAUCGUGAUCGUGAAGAAUCCGAAGAACCCCUUCUACAUGUACUGCGGGAUCGUGCAGAGGGUUACGGAUGGGAAAGUGGGGGUUUUGUUUGAGGGAGGGAACUGGGACAGGCUCAUCACUUUCCGCCUCGACGAGCUCGAGCGGAGGGACAAAGGCCCGCCGAUGGUCAAUCCCAAGUCGGCCGUCCUCGAAUCCAUCGUCACCAAGUCGGCGUGACGUCGAUCCCCACUGGUAUAUCUCAUUGCUUGUUUGAAUUAGAUCUGUAUAGUGUAUGUUAAUUGUUUCAAUUCUAUCUAUUAUGUCUCUUGUGAUGAUCAAUGCAUCAGAAUUAUCUUGAUAAUUGCAUGCUUCUGUGUGGAAUGUUACUCUUCGUUACAGGUUAAGUUGUAAAUUGUACAGCUUUUUCCUUUUGGUAAUGCAUUUAUGUUGCAUCCUUCGUAUUUUGACGUAAUUGAUAAGAGUAUUGCAUAUUAUCGAGAUUGAUCUGCUGGUUGUUUCUUUGGAGUGAUAGGAAACGCGAAGAAUUGUAUGUUAUGCUUGAUAAUAAAUUGUCGACAACACUAGCUAUAUCUCCCAAGUUGGAAAUAAUUGUUUUACGUCUACCGUGUCUCUUUUAUUUGACAUGAUUUGCAUUCCGAAGGCUAUUGGAAUUCGAUAUAUAUUUGUGCCUAUUGGGAUGUAUGAAAACAUGGCAAAUGCUUUAGUUGGUAAGAGAGAAUAUUAUUACACUAAGCAAAGCUAGAUUGGUCGAGUUCACUGAUUGGGUGCAUCUAUAAGAUCCUUUGCCCCAACAAGCUUAAAUGUUGAUCCUAUUUACAGGUGUCAAUUAGAAGAAAUCUCUCCCUAGUCAUCUUUGAUGUUGUGGGACCGACAAAACAAGACCAAUUAUCCUAUUUACAAAUUACAAGCGUCAAUAAGAAGAAAUUUCAUAGUUAUUUUUGAUAUUAUGGGACCAACAAAACAAUACCAAUUCUGAUAGCACAAUUGUGUGUGCGCGCGCACGCGGGCGACUAGUACCUAAUUGCAAAGAACAUAUGCUAGCAUUUAGUAAAUGCAAAGGAUAUUUGCUCAAGUUGUGUGUGUGUGCGACUAGUACAUCGUAAAUGCAAAGGACGUUUCCUGGUACAUAGUAAAUGCAAAGGACAGUUGCAUAAAUUGAUAAUAAAGCAAACUAUAGGAGUUGGAAUCUUUGGAGGAUGUUGUGGAGCAUUUUCAUUAUUCUGACAGGUAAAAAAGAAAAGAAAAAAAACAUAAAAAAGAAGAAAGUGAAAUCAGGUAGGGCAUUAGGGUGGGCAUUGUGGAAGAAGAGCUCAUCACCACUGCUGCAGAUUCUUGUCAAAAGUUGCCCAAGGAAUAAAAGGAGAAAAUAUGUGUAUCAGGUACACUACAUUCUCAUUUUAGCAGAGGAUACAAGAUUAUAUUAUUACAGAUAAUAGUGCUGGGUCUUAAUGAUGCUUAGUGUGGGCAACGUACAAUGUGAUUUGGAGUAAAGCCCCCAUCUUCAGUAAAGCAUGAUUAUAAUGGUUGGUGGAGGGCAUGGUCCAAGAAAUUGCUUCUUGUUGAAGUGAUAGUGCUUUUAGUGGGAAAUAGCCGAGGAGGAGAAGAAGAAGCUGGAUUUCUCUCUCAAGGGUCCCUAUCUCAACUAAUGCUAAUCUAUGUGGAAAAUUUAACAGUUACCAUUUGUUGUUGUGGUGAGAAAUUUAACAGUUAGGUUUUGGGUCGGUCAAAAUAGGUGGCACAGAAGCUCCCUAGUGAUCAUAUGUUUUGCAGUACUACUGAGGAGUAUUCUCUGAAGGCAGAAAAGAAAAAAUCAUUAUCAUUACUAUUAUGAUGGAAUGAUCGAAUGAAGAUAAUCAUUAUUAUUACAAGAAAGUAAUAUUUCAUGCCCCUCUUCUCUUUGGCCAUGGACCAACAUACAAGACGAAGCAAUACAUGUAAAUAGAAUAAAGAUAAAUGAAAAAAAUAAAGUCUAUGCAGUGAUAAAAUCAGCUUUCCUUUGGGGCGAGGCGGGACUUGAUCUUCUCCACCUCCUUGGUGCCGACCUGGAAGGCCUUUGUGAGCACGUUGUCGGGCACCGGCGGCGUGGAAGUGAAGAGGGUGAUGGCGAUGGACUGCGUGCCGGGCAACUGGCUGUUGAAGGCAGAGAUGACCGCGGCAGGCACGUCGCCAUUGUUCUUCUGGAAGUGGACGAGGCCGCGUGGGAACACAAAAAUCUCGCCUUUAGUGAUGGUCUUGGCGAUGAGCUUGUUGGCGGUGGUGAUGAAGCCCACGUCGAGGGUGCCAUCCAGGACGAACACCAUCUCGGUGGCACGCGGGUGGGUGUGAGGAGGGUUCAACCCACCGGGAGCGUAGUCGAUGCGGGAUAGGGAGACUCCCAAGGUGUUGAGACCUGGGAUCUUCUCCACAUUAGCUGCGGUGACCACUGAACCCUCGGUGUUGUUGGUGGCACCCGGGGCGGCCAGCCCCUUGAAGAAGAAGUCGUCCUCCGUCACGUUGUCCUUGCACACAAAUCCGUUCACCUUUACAGCUGCAGAUCAAUUGAGUAUUCGCUAAUCAUUAGUAUUCGAGUUAACAUUAAAGAUCGUUUUUCUCUUUUGUUUUUUUUGCUAAACACGUCUGCAUAAGAUGGAUGGUUUUGGCAGACCGAGUUAGAGAUUAUCUAACUCACUUAAAGUAGAAGAAAAUGAAAAGUUAAAUAUGAGACUUGUAAGAGUAGAUUGAGCUUACUAGAUUUGAGAUCGGCGACGCAGAUAUCCUGGAGCAUAUCGGGAUCGGCGGCGAGCGAGGGGACAAUGAGAAGAGAAAAGAUGAAGGGGAAUAUGAUAAGGAGAAGAGAAGAAGAAGAGUUGGCCAUGGGUGCUUCUUGUUUCCUUUUUCCCCUUUGCUUGAUGCUGUUGCUAAUGUUGUGUUUUGGCUUUUGCUUAAGAAACUUGACUCUCUUUUGCUCUAUUUAGUGGUGGGAUGAAGAGAAGGGAAAGAGGAGGCAUGGGAUUUUAUAGUAGACAAAUUGGGUGUUGGUGGGGUUGGGAUUUGCUGGGUUUGGAUUGGAGAGAGAGAGAGAGAGAGAGAGAGAGAGAGAGAGAGAGAGAGAGAGAGAGAGAGAGAGAGAGAGAUGUGGGAGUGAAGGCAUGAAAAAAUGGUCCUUACAACCCAAGAAACCUGUUUGGAAGGAAUAAACAAACUAACUAAUUGGGGAGGCUAAGUUUGCAUUUAAUGUAGAUGUAUAAUGACAAUGAUGAUAAGAAAGAUGUGGUUUUCUAAUCGUUGAUUAGGAUUAAUUUCUACCUUGUACAGACUGAUAAGACAGAUGAAGGCGCGUAUCCGCGAGGUUUUGAAUAUUAUAUGGUCUGUUUCUUUCAUUUCAUUUUGCGUCUCCACUUCUCCGCAUUCUUUAAAGAUCGUAAGCAAUGCUUUGUUUUCAAUUUCUGACUAUUAAUGAAAAAAGUUAGUGCUUCAAGGUUCGCUGGUUCGACUAGUGUUUUACUAGUGUUCUACUACGGGAACCGGAGAUCCCAAUAUGACAUCAUAAAUUAUAAUAUAUCAAUUCAAUUGUACAUAUCACGAAGCAAUAAAAAAUAUGAUUCUGUUUUAUUAAAAAUUGGUAGAAUAAGAGUGAGCUAAUAUUUAAACAAAAACGGGAGUAAUGCGAUAUUGAUUUUUCAAACCUGUUCUAUUAGUAUUGUUCGAUCAGUUUGACGGCACCUUUCAAAGUCUUACAAUUCUAUGAGUGGACUCGGACUGUCUUGAGCACUGGUUUAUUGUCCAGCCAGUUCAAUCGACCGGUUCGAACCGAUUUUUCAAACAUUAAUGGUAAGUUAUUUCCGUAAGGUCUCAUUAUUACCGAUUUUACGAACAUUAAUGGUAAGUUAUUUUCGUAAGGUCUCAUUAUUACCGAUUUUACGAACAUUGAUGGUAAGUUAUUUCUGUAGGGUCUCAUUGUUUAGUCAGCUGAGCAGUCAACAAUCAGCAUGAGCUUUCUUGGAUGGUGAAUAGUAGUAUCAGUAGGUUCAUCUACUACUGUUAGAGGAUUCUUCUUUGCAUGGUUAGCAUAGUAGUGACAACUGACAAGAACUUUUGGUUUUCGCUCGCAAAAGUCCGCGCGGCACUCGCUUCCUUUCGCAAAUUGAGCAAGUCUAUCUCUACUCGCAGUAUACGAGAGAGAAACUUUUGGAAAAAUUUGAGUUGUAUUACUUGAGGGUCAUCCCAGGAUGUGAAAUCAUAUGCCAAAACAAACAACUACGAACUCCCAAUGGACUACGUCUAGCUUUUGCGGAUGCUUCUAGAAAGAUCUAGCAAAACCUCCAAACCAAUGCUCCCUUGAAGUUUAGGGAUUAUUGUAAAGGGAUGGGUGGGUGAAAAAUUCCUAGUCCUUCACAACAGGCUCACUAACCAUCUAAUAAAAAGAGAACAGUGAUGACACAACAGGCUCACUAACCAUCUAAUAAAAAGAGAACAGUUAUCGAGACUGACACAUCGAGUGGAGAAAAGAAACUUCACGGAACUUUGACACAUCUCUUUGUGGUAUGCUGUUAUAUUCCCAUGGGAGACAAGUUCCUUAUCUUACCAAACCAUCUUAAAUAGAAAACAGAAAAAAGUAACAAUCCCCAAUUAAAAUUUCAAAACAUAAUAUAAUUAAUACUUUACACUAUAUACUUGUAAUACUUGGCUUUGGAGACCAACCUGAACUUAGAAGUUACUGCACAAAUCUUACUUCUGGGAGCACCAACAAACCUGAUAGAAACCUACAUACUUUUGUAUAUGAUAUUUUCUCGAUUUUCAGUUCGAUUGAUUAGGGUCACAAUGAAAGAGCCAUAAAUUUGAAAGUUUGUUUAUUUGUUUCUUUCUUCUUUUUUUUUUUGGAAUGGUAAUGCUUUUUCGGUGAUGGUUUCUACGAUCAUUUUAAUGCAUCAAAGCAGAAAAACUCUUUUUCCGUGACACUUUUGCUAAUGGCCUUUUAUAGUGUUUGGUAAAGAAAAUGUGCUCCCGCAGUGAAAAAUAGAAAUGAAAUUUUAGGUCUACAAAACUAAAAGCUCCAAUUCAAUGUGUCUGAACCACAAUAGAAAGAAUCUAUUUAGUUUAUUAGAAAUAAAAGUGUAAAUCUCAUAUCUCAUGUAUCCUAGUGACCACAAAACUUUUUGAAUUUUUAAUUUUUUUUCCUAAAAUGAUGAGACAGGUAAAAAAAUAAGCGCCCUUGGAUGCUUGGACUGUAAUAUCUAUUUAAGUUUUUGCCAACCGAAAGAUAUCUAUUGUGAAUCUAUAUUUUAAUUCAAAAUUUGUUUAAUUUCUUUUUAUCUCUAAAAUAGAAAUAAAUUCAUACUUAUCCAAAUUUUUGCCAGAAUAUCAAUAUGCUCUAUCCAUCUAUUUUACAUUAAAUUUAACUUUGAGUUUAAAUCGUGAAUUAAAUUUAAUUUUUGAUUUUGAAUAUCAAAUCUAUCAAUCUAUUUUAUAUUAAAAUUUAAAAUUGAUAUUAUAGGUAUUUUUUAAUAAAAUAUAACAUAUAAAUUUAUAAAAUAUUUUAUUCUAAAUUUUUGAAUAAAUAUAAUUUACAAAUUUUUAUUAAUUUAAAAUAAAUUAAAAUAAUUGUUACGUACAUUUGCACGUACGCUCAACUAGUAUACAGUAAAGGCUCAAAACGUAUGAUUCGAUUCUUAUCAUCUUUCGGGUCGGGCCAUUAUCUAAUGGGCGGGUCCAAUCCGUUUACAUUUUAAGUAAACCUGGCCCAAGUUCUCGCCCACCAUACACCACGGUACGUGCUAAGCACAUGAUGCGCAAUUUGUGGUAUUCAUCGUCCUCGUCGCGUACUACAUCUGACACUGUCUUUUUCCCGCUGCUCCUCCGCAAGCGUCUCGAAUGGCGUCGUCCUCCUCCUCUAUCCCCUCCACUCGAUCCAAAACCCUCUCCUCUCCCUCCUUCGUGGCAGAGCCACGAAACCCUCCCCACCCCACCAUCUCCUCUUCCUUCCCCCAUCGCCAUCUCUCCGCCCCACCCCACCAUCUCCUCUCCCUUCCCUCAUCGCUAUCUCUCCGCCUCUCCGCCAAGCUCCGCCUCUCCGAGAUCAUGGGCGGCCAUGGCCUCUGCAAUGGCGAAGAGGGCCUCCUCAAGGAGCUCACCCGCCCAGCGGAGGCGGCGGCGGCGGCGGCGCCUUCUCCUCCUCCGCCGCCGACGCAGCUACAACCCUCGCCCCUCGGGAUCGACGACGGGGCCUUCGAGAAGGAGUUCCUAGGGCUCACGGGAGGGUUCCCGGGGGGCGAGAAGGGCCUAAGGCGGUUCAUCGAGGAGAACCCUCCUCCGCGAAAGGGGGCUGGGGACGAGGAAGCGCUUGUGGGGAUCGCGCCGGGGACGAAGG
rnacentral:lncRNA from 1 species